UACGCAGGGGCUCAUACAAAAGUAGCUACUGCAAAUCCGCGUUUCCGCAAGUUUUGACACAGUGGCGGCGUUCAAUAUUUUAGUUUCUCUGCUCACCUUCAGCCUCUAUGCGAACGACGUAGCGGAAUGUACAAAUGGGUAUUGUCUGCUACGCCCAUCAUACGGCACCUGCAAAGGCCGCGUUCGGAAAUGGUACUAUGACCCGGCAAUACAAAAUUGCAAGAUGUUUUUUUAUUCGGGCUGCGGUGGAAACGACAACAGAUUCUCCAAGGAAGGAUGGUGUCAAUGGUAUUGCUUGCCCAGAAACAAGAUGAGAAAAAGUGUUUGCAGCCGAAGACCAUACGCAGAAAAAUGCUACGGCCGCAAGGAGCGAUGGUACUUUGAUAAACAUGCCAACACUUGCCGUCAAUUCCAAAACGGACAGUGCGGAUUAGUACCUAACAGAUUCGAGACCUGUUGGCAGUGCAUGAACAGAUGCAGUGAUGCUGAUCCGAAUAGUGUCUGUCAGGAGUCUACUGGCAUAAAAAAACGGUAACCAACGCGUACUUUGGCAAUCUGUUCCAAGAACACUUCGGCAGAUUCUUCCAAACAGAGUGCAAGCACUGUUAGCCACAGCUUCGAAACACUAAUGCAUUGAAAAAUAAAAUUUUAAGCAAUAUGAAAUUGAUUCCUCUUU